ACGGAAGGCAGCAGUGGGGAAUAUUGGACAAUGGGGGAAACCCUGAUCCAGCGACGCCGCGUGAGUGAAGAAGUAUUUCGGUAUGUAAAGCUCUAUCAGCAAGGAAGAAAAUGACGGUACUUGACUAAGAAGCCCCGGCUAACUACGUGCCAGCAGCCGCGGUAAUACGUAGGGGGCAAGCGUUAUCCGGAUUUACUGGGUGUAAAGGGAGCGUAGACGGCAUAGCAAGUCUGAAGUGAAAUGCAUGGGCUCAACCCAUGAACUGCUUUGGAAACUGUUAAGCUAGAGUGCAGGAGAGGUAAGUGGAAUUCCUAGUGUAGCGGUGAAAUGCGUAGAUAUUAGGAGGAACACCAGUGGCGAAGGCGGCUUACUGGACGGUAACUGACGUUGAGGCUCGAAAGCGUGGGGAGCAAACAGGAUUAGAUACCCUGGUA
rnacentral:rRNA from 1 species